rnacentral:lncRNA from 1 species
AAUACUAUUAAGAUGAUGGAUUAGUUGAAGGCAAAAUUAAAAAAAAAGUAUGAGAUGUGUGAUUUGAAAGAGCUUUAUUAUUGUUUAAAAAUGGAAUUUGUGAGAGAUUGUACUAAAAAGACCAUGAUAAUGAGUCAAAGCAAGUAUAUUGAAGAAAUAUUGAAAUAAUUCAGCAUAGAAGAUUAUAAACCAAUUUGAAGUUGAUGAAGCUCAUAGAUAAAGAAUUUAUUGAAUUUGAAGGUCAAAUACAAGAUAUUUUAUAUAAUGUAGCAAUAGAUUUAUUUAUAUAUAUAUAAUAGUUGACAUAAAGGUAGAUCUUGCAUAUGCGGUGAGUGUUGUGAGUCAAUAGAUGUCAAACGCUGGAUCAAUCUAUUAAGCAACUAUUGAAAGAAUCAUGAGAUAC